UCCGGUUCAUCACCGGCAGUCCCCUUAGAGUCCCCAACUAAAUGAUGGCAACUAAGGGCAAGGGUUGCGCUCGUUACGGGACUUAACCCAACAUCUCACAACACGAGCUGACGACAGCCAUGCAGCACCUGUCUCCAGGUUCCUUUCGGCACUCCCACAUCUCUGCAGGAUUCCUAGGAUGUCAAGGGUAGGUAAGGUUCUUCGCGUUGCAUCGAAUUAAACCACAUGCUCCACCGCUUGUGCGGGCCCCCGUCAAUUCAUUUGAGUUUCAACCUUGCGGCCGUACUUCCCAGGCGGAAGACUUAUCGCGUUAGCUUCGAUACCGAUAGGUUCCCCUACCAACAUCUAGUCCUCAUCGUUUACAGCGUGGACUAC
rnacentral:misc_RNA from 1 species